AGCAGCUCUUGAACUAGGGUUUCAGAGCUUUAUUCAGCUAUAUAUAACCCCACGAGUUCCCUUCACUUCAUCGCUUGCAGUUUUUGGUGCAUCAUUCUUUCUCAGAAGGAUAUGUGUAAGGUGUAGUGGAGCCAAGUCCCUGCUUGUAAGGGAGAACCUACUUGGUGGAAGCUACAUUACAAUGACAUUAAUGGAUAACGCUGAAGCAAAUUGAAUUUUUCAAGUUGAUUGUUUUUGUAAUUAUUUCAAACGUGAAUUUUGUCUUGUUCUUCAUUCUGCUGAGUUUAACUAUACCCUUAUAUCCUUUGCAAUGGAGUUAGGGUCUGAAAAACUCAGAAAUUGGUUGUGUUGUCAUCAGCUUCGUCUCCCAUAACCUACGAGAUUGGAGUUAAAUAACAGCACUAAAUUUGGUCCCUUUGAUUUAUUUAAAUCUGUUUUUGUUUAUGUUAUUUGAUUAUCUUUGAUACCUCCUUAAUUUAUGUUGAUUGUUGUUUAUGAAUUUGAUUGCAGGUUCAUGAUUGAGAUAAACGCAUCAUGUGCUGUAAUUUAGAUGGAAAUAGUUGUAAAUGAUAAAGUUGUAAAUACACAUUAUGGGCUGUACUAUAUUAUUUCUUAACCUAAUCAAGAAUUUACAUUAUUUGUUUGUAAACAAGUCUAAUCUUUUGUGAACUAGUCGAAAUUGAAUUAAAUAAAAAAUUUGAUUGAACUCCACUUAAUUA